rnacentral:rRNA from 1 species
GACGAACGCUGGCGGCGUGCCUAAUACAUGCAAGUAGAACGCUGAAGCGAGGAGCUUGCUCUUCUUGGCUGAGUUGCGAACGGGUGAGUAACGCGUAGGUAACCUGCCUUGUAGCGGGGGAUAACUAUUGGAAACGAUAGCUAAUACCGCAUAACAAUGGAUGACACAUGUCAUUUAUUUGAAAGGGGCAAUUGCUCCACUACAAGAUGGACCUGCGUUGUAUUAGCUAGUAGGUGAGGUAAUGGCUCACCUAGGCGACGAUACAUAGCCGACCUGAGAGGGGGGUACGCCCACCCGGGACUGGGAAACGGCCCAGACUCCUACGGGAGGCAGCAGUAGGGAAUCUUCGGCAAUGGGGGCAACCCUGACCGAGCAACGCCGCGUGAGUGAAGAAGGUUUUCGGAUCGUAAAGCUCGGUUGUAAGUCAAGAACGGGUGUGAGAGUGGAAAGUUCACACUGUGACGGUAGCUUACCAGAAAGGGACGGCUAACUACGUG